AUCCGCCACUCCCAUUAAGCCAGGGCUGGUGGAGCUUAUUGACUUGGUAGCUGUCUUAACGGGGCGUUCCAGCUGAAAAUUCCAACUUGAAUGCAUCAUUGUUCUUUAAGCCAAGUUUCCAUUACAACAAGCAGACAGGCGCUGUUUUACUCUUUCAGGAACCUGGCACUUGUCCAGAGCUCAACAAGUUUGUUGCGGAGUGAUAACACAGGCGAGGAUAAAUGUGGAAAGAGGUAUCUGUUGGUGGUCCUGUCUCACGACGACCGACAGUUUAGAGGUCCGAUUCCCUAAAAGGAUCCAACUGGAUGAUCUCUGCUGGAAGAUUUGGAGACGAGUCCAAGGUUUCACCAAAAACAAGAGAAAUUCACACUGAGAGUAAAACUGUUUGAUUAUCUGUGGAUCAGAGUGCAGCAGGCUGGAUGUGACGAUGGGGCACUCUUUGCUCUGCAUGAUGGGCUUUUUCUUGCUCAGUACUGUCAUCUGUGGAAAUGCUGAAGUUCCCAUUAAGCCCACUGUGACCCUGCAGCCAUCCUGGACUCAGAUAUACAGCGGUGAGACAGUCACUGUGAGAUGUGAGAUUCAGGGAGGUGAAGGAGCUCAGUGGACGUGUGAAUGGAGACCAGCCAAGUUAAAC